GGCCCCCUCGCCCUCCGCCCGCGCCGGGCCCUCCCCGCCAGCUGCCGCCAUCUUGAACCGCCAGGCACUCUUCAAGCGCUCGGAUAGUCCCGCCCCCGCUUCUUCCGAUUGGCUGAGGCGGGAGCUCUGUCCCUAUUGAUCAAGACAUGGAUACUAUGCAAGUGAACAUUCCAAAUUGAACCGUCAAGUCUCAAAAGACAGGCUUAUAACCUUCACCGCAGAAGGCGCUAUUAUG